CGUGAAUUCUAAUGCAAGCACCCUAGUAUAUCUCAUGGCAUUCAUGAUGCGUGUAUCAUGCUCAGAAUUUAUUUAUUUACUUUGAAAUGAAAUAAAGUAUUCCACUCACCUCUGGCUGAAGCUCUAACAGACUCAGAAGCAGCUGAACUCACUGCUGGGGUCCUCGGUUCCUCGGGUCCGAACCUACACAGGUGGACUCAAAU
rnacentral:lncRNA from 1 species